rnacentral:rRNA from 1 species
AUUGAACGCUGGCGGCAGGCCUAACACAUGCAAGUCGAGCGGCAGCGGAAAGUAGCUUGCUACUUUGCCGGCGAGCGGCGGACGGGUGAGUAAUGUGGGAAACUGCCCGAUGGAGGGGGAUAACUACUGGAAACGGUAGCUAAUACCGCAUAACGUCGCAAGACCAAAGAGGGGGACCUUCGGGCCUCUUGCCAUCGGAUGUGCCCAGAUGGGAUUAGCUAGUAGGUGGGGUAACGGCUCACCUAGGCGACGAUCCCUAGCUGGUCUGAGAGGAUGACCAGCCACACUGGAACUGAGACACGGUCCAGACUCCUACGGGAGGCAGCAGUGGGGAAUAUUGCACAAUGGGCGCAAGCCUGAUGCAGCCAUGCCGCGUGUAUGAAGAAGGCCUUCGGGUUGUAAAGUACUUUCAGCGGGGAGGAAGGUGUUGAGGUUAAUAACCUCAGCAAUUGACGUUACCCGCAGAAGAAGCACCGGCUAACUCCGUGCCAGCAGCCGCAGUAA